UUUUCCCUUGGCAGAUCAACCAAUUCACCUCCGUAGAUCUGAUAAGUCAAAUUGGUUGUUAUUAGAGAAAAAACAAUAAAAAGGCGAAUAUUUUUGGUGAAUUUUUUUUUUGUUAGUUCUGAAACGGUGAAACCCUUCCCACUCGAGCACUGAAGAAAGAAAUCAAGUCUCUCAAACCCACAUAAUAUCUUGAUUCCGUUUUAUCUUCCUCUUCAUAUCUCUUGUUUUUCCUCUCUCGAUUGAAGUUGGACAGGGUUUUAGGGUUAGUGCGAAACUAACACCAAAUCAUCCACUGGAAAGAUAAUUAAGAAAUAUUGUUAUUUGGUGUGAAUUGGUAGAAGAAAUGAUUUCUGGUUCCGAUUGAUUACAUACAUAUUUUGUACUUUAUCACAAGUAAGAAAAAAAUUGUUUAUGUGGAGGUUUUAUUCAUUCUAGGGUUUGUUAGUUCUCUGAUUCUGUAUUUGGGGACAAUACUAGGUUUUAUUAUUUGAAUGGUUCAGUUCUCUAUGAAAUGUUUGUAGGAAGGGCUGAGAGAUGAAACAUCUCACUUUCUUCAUACUAUGGUUAUUUAUGAAAUACUUAUUUCUUCAUUUUUCUGAUAAAUUUAAUUUGGAGUUGUAUUAGAUAAAUUUAAUUUGGAGUUGAAUUACAGGAAAAUAAAAAGAUCAUAGAAUAGCAAACAUCCCUUAAUUCUGAAGUAAGUAUUUGUAUAGUAUGUUUUAAACUGGAUUAUGUACAUCAUAAGUGCAGUUGUGAAUCAAAUACAAAGUGAUACCGAUUUAUGGACAAAUAUGCAAUGAAAUUUCAAACAAUGGCAUUACUUACUGUAAUAUACUUGAGUCAGUACCUUUGGAUUUACACGAAUUAAUUUGGUUCAUAUUUCUUUUCUUUUGAUCUGCUAGAUCCAUUUCCAGUUGGUUUUGGGGUUGUCGGUGGAGUUAUAAGCAUUUAUUUUUUGGUUUCUAUAUUAUACAUUGAACUCCAAAUAUCUGAUGCAGUGGAACUCUAGACAUUUGAUGCAGUGGAAAGACAGAAACAGAUCGAGAUAUGGUAAGCAAUGACGAAAUAGUUCCACUUUCAGAAUAGCGCUUCUGUUGCCCCUUCAAUCGGAUGGGAGUCUCAUCAUCAUCAAUAAACUAAAUGCGACCGGCAACAUUUCUUAAGGACCUGUUUGAGUCGCAGUUUAUAAAGGAAAUAUUUUGGUUUAACUACUGUUGGUAAAUGUUAUUUUUCUCAACUAUGGGAAUGUGGAUGGAAGAAGCUACAAAUGCUGUCGGUUAAACUAUUUGCAGUUGUAUUCCCAAGAUUAACUGUACAAAUUUGUAAAUCUAAUUUCAAUUGUAGAUGCUUAAAGUUUUGAGGUAUCGGUUCUUGAUCGUUGUAUUUGCCAACCCCUGAAGGAACCAUACCUAAAAAUACUUAACUGAAGUUUCUGAAGCAGUUAGGGGACAAUAGUUGGGUGGGGAAUUUGUGAGUUUAGGUCGCCAUAUAAUUCAUAUCCACUGUAGUAUGAAAAACUUGAGAGUAUAUAUCAAUUAUUUGAUUAAUUUUUAUGUAGUUUGGUAUUGUUUUUA